rnacentral:rRNA from 1 species
UACAGAGGUCCCAAGCGUUGUUCGGAUUCAUUGGGCGUAAAGGGUGCGUAGGCGGCGCGGUAAGUCGGGUGUGAAAUCUCGGAGCUUAACUCCGAAACUGCAUUCGAUACUGCCGUGCUUGAGGACUGGAGAGGAGACUGGAAUUUACGGUGUAGCGGUGAAAUGCGCAGAUAUCGGGAGGAACACCAAUGGCGAAGGCAGCUCGCCGGGACGUGACUGACGCUGAGACGCGAAAGCGUGGGGAGCAAACAGG